rnacentral:snoRNA from 1 species
AGGUAGUGGUAAGGUUUGUGCACGCGCGGCGUUUGAUGUGCGUGAGGUGGCCGAGUUUAGCAUGGAAGGACGCGUGGAAGGGGAGUGAAUGUGUGUGCGUGCAAGGCCGAGUGCGUGCGUGCAAGGAGAGUGCGUGCCCGCGUGCCGAGCCGGCCCUUCCUGAGCCCUUCCCCCCCUACACUCUGAUCUUAUUUGAUCGGGCCGGGUUCCCGCCUCGCCGGCCCGACCCGAGAUGAGAAGCUCCCCUCCCGCGAAGCCCCAGCCAGCUGUGGCCGGGGCGCUGUGCGGCGAGGCCUAUGCGAACAGGCGGCGGCCGCUCCCGGGCUCCCCGAGCCAGCCCCUCCGCGGGCCGGGCCGGGCCGGGCGCUCAGAAGUGAUGAGUUGAUCAGAUAGAUGAGGCUGGGCUCGCCCCUGCCCUUGAGUAUCGAGGCGAUUCUGAUCUGA